UGCGUAGGCGGAUAAAUAAGUCAGUGGUGAAAUCUCUCGGCUCAACCGGGAAACUGCCAUUGAUACUGUUGAUCUUGAGUUCGGUUGAGGUAGGCGGAAUGUGUAAUGUAGCGGUGAAAUGCUUAGAUAUUACACAGAACACCAAUUGCGUAGGCAGCUUACUAGACCGACACUGACGCUGAGGCACGAAAGCGUGGGGAGCGAACAGGAUUAGAUACCCUGGUAAUCC
rnacentral:rRNA from 1 species